rnacentral:rRNA from 1 species
UACGUAGGGUGCGAGCGUUGUCCGGAAUUAUUGGGCGUAAAGGGCUCGUAGGCGGUUUGUCACGUCGGGGGUGAAAACACCGGGCUUAACUCGGGGCUUGCUUUCGAUACGGGCAGACUUGAGGUAUGCAGGGGAAAACGGAAUUCCUGGUGUAGCGGUGAAAUGCGCAGAUAUCAGGAGGAACACCGGUGGCGAAGGCGGUUCUCUGGGCAUUACCUGACGCUGAGGAGCGAAAGUGUGGGGAGCGAACAGG